AUACGAAAGGUGCAAGCGUUGUUCGGAUUUACUGGGCGUAAAGAGAGUGUAGGUUGUUUAUUAAGUCGGAUGUGAAAUCCCGGGGCUCAACCUCGGAACUGCAUUCGACACUGAUAGGCUAGAGUUUGGGAGGGGUAAGCGGAAUUCCGUGUGUAGCAGUGAAAUGCGUAGAUAUACGGAGGAACACCUGAGGCGAAGGCGGCUUACUGGACCAAUACUGACACUGAGGAUCGAAAGCGUGGGUAGCAAACAGGAUUAGAAACCCCGGUAGUCC
rnacentral:rRNA from 1 species